UCGAACAAAAGGAAAAUGAAGAGGAACAAGGAAAUAGUGAUGGCGGCCAUAAUGCCAACGAUGGCCUUUACAUCAACGGCGACGACAACUUCGGCGAUGGUGACGGUGCCGACGACGACAAUGGCAACCACAAAGAAGACAACAUCAGGUUCGGAUUUUUAAUUGUUUUCGUUCAUUAAAUAAAAAAAAUUACAUUUUUUAAAUAAAAGAGUGAUGUUGAUGAUGAUGAUAAAUAGCAAGAUACGUAUUGUACAGGAAGAAAAAAAAGAUACCUUAAUAUUUCGUGUUUGUUGUUUGUUACUAAAAACUCCUUCUGAUUUAUUUCCUUUUUCCUUCUUUGUAAGUGUAUUUUUUUUAGUAGAGUUAAUCUCAGCUCCCCCUUUUUUGAAAUUGAUAAGGUGCUUUUAUAGAGUUUUUUUUUUUUUAUAUAUGUUUAGUUGUUUUCUGGUCUGUGUCAUUGUUUGAGUUUGAGCUUUCUAAAACCUUGUUUGAUGUUUUAAUUUCUUUGCUCACAACCUGCAUUUUCCUGCACCUCUGAUGCCUUCAUAGUUUUAGCUUAUUUGUUUCGAUCUGUUGAUUUGCUGAGCUUUUAUUUGUCUUUUAGUUUGUUUUUUUAAACUAAAAAAUUUGUCUCUUUGCUGUGCACAAAGUGUACCAAGACUGACUUAAAAAAAAAUGUUUUUAUGUUUCUCUAAUUAGUUAAAACAGGAACAUAUGUAUCAAUAAGCAUGGCUUGUGCAUCAAUGACAGUCAUCAUCAACAUAGCAGGGUUUGGCAGUGAACAAAGUCAACAUAGCAUGGCUUGAUCUGAUUUAAUUUUUAUUGUAAUUUAUUUUUGC
rnacentral:lncRNA from 1 species